GAUGAAGAACGCAGCGAAAUGCGAUACUUGGUGUGAAUUGCAGAAUCCCGUGAACCAUCGAGUCUUUGAACGCAAGUUGCGCCCGAAGCCAUUAGGCCGAGGGCACGCCUGCCUGGGCGUCACACGUCGUUGCCCCCCCAUCUACUCCUUCGGGAUUGCGGGGGGCGGAUGAUGGCCUCUCGUGCGCCUCGUCGCGCGGUUGGCCUAAAUGCCAAGUCCUCGGCGACGCACGCCACGACAAUCGGUGGUUGCGAAACCUCGGUUGCCUGUCGUGGGCGGUCGUCGCGCAUCGAGGGCUCGAAAAAAUUGCCGGGCUUCGGCUCGACUUUCAACGCGACCCCAGGUCAGGCGGGGUUACCCGCUGAAUUUAAGCAUAUCAAUAAGCGGAGGA
rnacentral:misc_RNA from 1 species